rnacentral:rRNA from 1 species
GGGUUGUGAGGUUAAGCGACUAAGCGUACACGGUGGAUGCCCUGGCAGUCAGAGGCGAUGAAGGACGUGCUAAUCUGCGAUAAGCGUCGGUAAGGUGAUAUGAACCGUUAUAACCGGCGAUUUCCGAAUGGGGAAACCCAGUGUGUUUCGACACACUAUCAUUAACUGAAUCCAUAGGUUAAUGAGGCGAACCGGGGGAACUGAAACAUCUAAGUACCCGAGGAAAAGAAAUCAACCGAGAUUCCCCCAGUAGCGGCGAGCGAACGGGGAGCAGCCCAGAGCCUGAAUCAGUAUGUGUGUUAGUGGAAGCGUCUGGAAAGGCGCGCGAUACAGGGUGACAGCCCCGUACACAAAAAUGCACAUGCUGUGAGCUCGAUGAGUAGGGCGGGACACGUGGUAUCCUGUCUGAAUAUGGGGGACCAUCCUCCAAGGCUAAAUACUCCUGACUGACCGAUAGUGAACCAGUACCGUGAGGGAAAGGCGAAAAGAACCCCGGCGAGGGGAGUGAAAAAGAACCUGAAACCGUGUACGUACAAGCAGUGGGAGCACGCUUAGGCGUGUGACUGCGUACCUUUUGUAUAAUGGGUCAGCGACUUAUAUUCUGUAGCAAGGUUAACCGAAUAGGGGAGCCGAAGGGAAACCGAGUCUUAACUGGGCGUUAAGUUGCAGGGUAUAGACCCGAAACCCGGUGAUCUAGCCAUGGGCAGGUUGAAGGUUGGGUAACACUAACUGGAGGACCGAACCGACUAAUGUUGAAAAAUUAGCGGAUGACUUGUGGCUGGGGGUGAAAGGCCAAUCAAACCGGGAGAUAGCUGGUUCUCCCCGAAAGCUAUUUAGGUAGCGCCUCGUGAAUUCAUCUCCGGGGGUAGAGCACUGUUUCGGCAAGGGGGUCAUCCCGACUUACCAACCCGAUGCAAACUGCGAAUACCGGAGAAUGUUAUCACGGGAGACACACGGCGGGUGCUAACGUCCGUCGUGAAGAGGGAAACAACCCAGACCGCCAGCUAAGGUCCCAAAGUCAUGGUUAAGUGGGAAACGAUGUGGGAAGGCCCAGACAGCCAGGAUGUUGGCUUAGAAGCAGCCAUCAUUUAAAGAAAGCGUAAUAGCUCACUGGUCGAGUCGGCCUGCGCGGAAGAUGUAACGGGGCUAAACCAUGCACCGAAGCUGCGGCAGCGACGCUUAUGCGUUGUUGGGUAGGGGAGCGUUCUGUAAGCCUGUGAAGGUGUACUGUGAGGUAUGCUGGAGGUAUCAGAAGUGCGAAUGCUGACAUAAGUAACGAUAAAGCGGGUGAAAAGCCCGCUCGCCGGAAGACCAAGGGUUCCUGUCCAACGUUAAUCGGGGCAGGGUGAGUCGACCCCUAAGGCGAGGCCGAAAGGCGUAGUCGAUGGGAAACAGGUUAAUAUUCCUGUACUUGGUGUUACUGCGAAGGGGGACGGAGAAGGCUAUGUUGGCCGGGCGACGGUUGUCCCGGUUUAAGCGUGUAGGCUGGUUUUCCAGGCAAAUCCGGAAAAUCAAGGCUGAGGCGUGAUGACGAGGCACUACGGUGCUGAAGCAACAAAUGCCCUGCUUCCAGGAAAAGCCUCUAAGCAUCAGGUAACAUCAAAUCGUACCCCAAACCGACACAGGUGGUCAGGUAGAGAAUACCAAGGCGCUUGAGAGAACUCGGGUGAAGGAACUAGGCAAAAUGGUGCCGUAACUUCGGGAGAAGGCACGCUGAUAUGUAGGUGAAGCGACUUGCUCGUGGAGCUGAAAUCAGUCGAAGAUACCAGCUGGCUGCAACUGUUUAUUAAAAACACAGCACUGUGCAAACACGAAAGUGGACGUAUACGGUGUGACGCCUGCCCGGUGCCGGAAGGUUAAUUGAUGGGGUCAGCGCAAGCGAAGCUCUUGAUCGAAGCCCCGGUAAACGGCGGCCGUAACUAUAACGGUCCUAAGGUAGCGAAAUUCCUUGUCGGGUAAGUUCCGACCUGCACGAAUGGCGUAAUGAUGGCCAGGCUGUCUCCACCCGAGACUCAGUGAAAUUGAACUCGCUGUGAAGAUGCAGUGUACCCGCGGCAAGACGGAAAGACCCCGUGAACCUUUACUAUAGCUUGACACUGAACAUUGAGCCUUGAUGUGUAGGAUAGGUGGGAGGCUUUGAAGUGUGGACGCCAGUCUGCAUGGAGCCGACCUUGAAAUACCACCCUUUAAUGUUUGAUGUUCUAACGUGGACCCGUAAUCCGGGUUGCGGACAGUGUCUGGUGGGUAGUUUGACUGGGGCGGUCUCCUCCUAAAGAGUAACGGAGGAGCACGAAGGUUGGCUAAUCCUGGUCGGACAUCAGGAGGUUAGUGCAAUGGCAUAAGCCAGCUUGACUGCGAGCGUGACGGCGCGAGCAGGUGCGAAAGCAGGUCAUAGUGAUCCGGUGGUUCUGAAUGGAAGGGCCAUCGCUCAACGGAUAAAAGGUACUCCGGGGAUAACAGGCUGAUACCGCCCAAGAGUUCAUAUCGACGGCGGUGUUUGGCACCUCGAUGUCGGCUCAUCACAUCCUGGGGCUGAAGUAGGUCCCAAGGGUAUGGCUGUUCGCCAUUUAAAGUGGUACGCGAGCUGGGUUUAGAACGUCGUGAGACAGUUCGGUCCCUAUCUGCCGUGGGCGCUGGAGAACUGAGGGGGGCUGCUCCUAGUACGAGAGGACCGGAGUGGACGCAUCACUGGUGUUCGGGUUGUCAUGCCAAUGGCACUGCCCGGUAGCUAAAUGCGGAAGAGAUAAGUGCUGAAAGCAUCUAAGCACGAAACUUGCCCCGAGAUGAGUUCUCCCUGACUCCUUGAGAGUCCUGAAGGAACGUUGAAGACGACGACGUUGAUAGGCCGGGUGUGUAAGCGCAGCGAUGCGUUGAGCUAACCGGUACUAAUGAACCGUGAGGCUUAACCUUACAACGCCGAAGCUGUU